CGGCGCGCGGCGCGCGGGGCGGGGCGGGGCCGGCGCUGGGUCAGUGCGCGCGGGCUGCGCGGGGCCGGGGCCGGAGUGGCGGCGCGCUGAGAUUUCUGCUCAUCGUUGAAAGAUGGGAGAGAUAGAAGGGACAUACAGAGUCCUGCAGACUCCCGGCUCUCGUUUGGGCGUCCAGAAGACCACGGGAGUGAGCACCUUGGAGCCGGGACAGAACCUUUCCACUGCAAUGGCAUCGUCACCUGCCAAAACGCACGAGCGGGACCUGCUGAUCAAAAUAAAGAUGCUGGACAACACAGUGGAAGUACUUGACAUUGAGUCAAAAUAUUAUGGCCAGACGUUGUUGACAGAAGUUUACAAGCAUCUGAAUUUGAUCGAAUCAGACUACUUUGGGAUUGAGUUCCAGAACAUCCAGUCAUAUUGGAUUUGGCUGGAACCUAUGAAACCUGUUAUUAAACAAGUACGGAGACCAAAGACUACAAUGCUUCGUCUAGCGGUCAAGUUUUUCCCUCCAGACCCGGGUCAGCUGCAAGAGGAAUAUACCAGGUACCUGUUUGCGUUGCAAAUCAAGAGGGACCUGGCGGAGGAACGUCUGACCUGCAGCGACAACACGGCCGCCCUGCUGGUCUCGCACCUCCUGCAGUCUGAAAUAGGGGAUUUUGAUGAAUCAGAGGAUCGAGAACACCUUAAAACAAACCAGUAUUUGCCAAACCAGGGAAGAAUUGAAGGAAAGAUUCUGGAGUUCCACAGGAAGCAUGUGGGUCAAACUCCUGCUGAAUCCGACUUCCAAGUGCUUGAAAUUGCUCGGAAACUGGAGAUGUACGGCAUCCGAUUUCACCUUGCGUCUGACCGCGAGGGCACCAAAAUCAACCUGGCUGUGUCCCACAUGGGCGUGCUGGUGUUCCAGGGUAACACGAAAAUCAACACCUUCAACUGGUCAAAGGUCCGUAAACUAAGCUUCAAGAGGAAAAGAUUCCUUAUUAAACUCCACCCAGAGGUCUGUGGCCUUUAUCAAGAUACACUGGAGUUUCUUUUGGGAAGUAGAGAUGAGUGUAAAAACUUCUGGAAAAUCUGUGUUGAAUAUCACACCUUCUUUAGGCUCUUUGAUCAGCCAAAGCCAAAGGCUAAAGCCGUGUUCUUCACCAGAGGCUCAUCAUUCAGAUACAGUGGCCGAACACAGAAGCAACUGGUGGAUUAUAUAAAGGACAGUGGGAUGAAGAAAACCCCGUAUGAAAGGAGGCACAGCAAAGCCAGGACGUCCACUCGCACUCCCAACACCGACGUGCCAAAGCAGAGUGUCCCAUUCCCUGAGGGCUUGAGAGCCCCAGGGUCUCCUGCCUCAGCAGCCACCUCCUUCCACUCAGUUCACUCAUCAGCUGCUCCUGCUCCUGUCCGGCCCAUCUUUGCAGAAACCAGCCCUUCCUCUGUGGACCCCCGCACGACGUACACGAGGGUUCCAGAAAAACCAACUGCGGUGCCAGCAGAAGAAGCGGGGAGGAAAGCGACGCAGCAGCCUGGAUCUCCUGUGCUCCAAGGGCUCCCAGAGGAACAUGCUCCGCUCGCUGCCCUCGUGCUCAAGAGUCCCCUGGGCCUGACCCCGGCGUUCCAGGUGAACUUGAACGCAGCUGGCCAGGGUUCAUCUCCUCUUCUGAGUCCUGUCCUCAGCGACGCUGGCGGUGCCAGGAUGGAAGAGGAUGAGGAAAUGAAGCGUAAGCGCUAUCCAACUGACAAGGCGUACUUCAUAGCAAAGGAGAUCCUUGCUACAGAACGGACAUAUUUAAAGGACUUGGAAGUUAUUACAGUGUGGUUUCGCAGCGCGGUCAUCAAGGAGAACGCUAUGCCAGAGGGCCUGAUGACGUUACUCUUCUCUAACAUAGACCCAAUUUAUGAGUUUCAUCGAGGCUUUCUGAAAGAGAUUGAGCAAAGGCUAUCGCUCUGGGAAGGAAAAACCAACGCUCACGUGAAAGGAGAUUAUCAACGCAUUGGAGAUGUCAUGCUCAGGAAUAUGCGCACUCUGAAGGAGUUCACUAAUUACCUGCAGAAACAUGACGAGGUCCUGACAGAACUGGAGAAAGCAACUAAGCGCCUGAAGAAGCUGGAGAUGGUUUAUAAGGAGUUUGAACUGCAGAAGGUUUGCUACCUGCCCCUCAACACGUUCCUGCUCAAACCCAUCCAGAGGCUGAUGCACUACAAGCUGGUGCUGGGGCGGCUCUGCAAGCACUACACAGCUGAGCACCGCGACUUCGCCGACUGCCGCAAUGCGCUCAGGGAGGUCACCGAAAUGACGGCUCAGCUGCAGCACAGUCUCAUCCGCCUGGAGAACUUCCAGAAGCUGAGCGAGCUGCAGCACGACCUCAUUGGGAUAGACAACCUCACGGCACCCGGCAGGGAGUUCAUCCGGGAAGGCUGCUUGUACAAGCUCACUAAGAAGGGUCUGCAGCAGCGGAUGUUCUUCCUGUUCUCAGAUAUGUUGCUGUACACGAGCAAAGGGGUUACAGGGACGAAUCAAUUCAAAAUUCAUGGACAUCUUCCUCUGCACGGCAUGUUGGUGGAGGAGAGUGAGAACGAAUGGGCUGUCCCACACUGCUUCACCAUCUAUUCAGCACAAAAAACCAUCGUGGUGGCAGCAAGUACCCGCCUGGAGAUGGGCAAGUGGAUGGAGGACCUCAACGUGGCAAUUGAAAUGGCCAAGAAAUCUACUGAGAAAUCUGACAUGCUGCUGGAAAACUCCGUGUGCAACCGCUCCAACAGAUCCUCUGAUGAGGUCUCUCUAGAACAGGAGUCCGAAGAUGACAUACACUCUUCUCGUAGCUCCCUGGACAGGCAGAGCCACCACCGUGCCAACACCACCAUGCACGUGUGCUGGUACCGCAACACCAGCGUCUCCAUGACUGACCACAGUGUGGCUGUCGAGAGCUUCCUCCUCGCUAUUUGCUGGGCCAGGCCCAACGGCCCAACACAAUCACCCAUGUUUGUUGGUACCGGAACCACAGCCUGUCCCUGUCUGAUUACCUGUGCAUGAUCCAGAACCAGCUCUCUGGAUACUUGCUGAGGAAGUUCAAGAACAGCAAUGGCUGGCAGAAACUGUGGGUCGUCUUCACCAACUUCUGCUUGUUCUUCUACAAAACACACCAGGACGAUUUUCCCCUGGCCAGUCUCCCGCUGCUGGGCUACGUAGUCAGCUCCCCUGCCGAGGCCGACGGCAUCCAGAAGGAUUACGUCUUCAAGCUGCAGUUCAAGUCCCAUGUGUAUUUCUUCAGGGCUGAGAGCAAAUACACCUUUGAGAGGUGGAUGGAGGUGAUCAAGAGAGCCACCAGCUCUCCGGCCAGGUCCAGCCUGCAGCUGCCAAAGGAUGACAAGGACAGUCACAGCGACUGAAACGGCAGAGCUGGGUCUCUGUCGACAUCCGCGGAAGAGGCAGGUGGAACCAGGAGUCUCUGGACUUGAUAAAGCAAAGAACCAGGAAGCUCAUUUCCACCUGGGAUGGAGAUGGGAGCGAGGGAGUUGCACCCGGGGAUCACUUCCAUUCGCAGCGCUGCGGAAGAGGGUCAAGUCUGUUCCAGCUGAACCUACUUAGAGAGAACCUAACAACCGCAGAGCUCCGGUGUGCACACAUCGCGGAAGGUUUAUGUUCCAGUUGUACCUGUACAGUAACACCCUUUUGCUUGCCCUGAAGGCAAAUGCCACCUCAUUUUUACAUUUUACUGGAUGGUCAGCAUAUACGGGAGAAAAAUAGCAGCUGUCUGGUGUGACGGGCUCCCAGCUGCUGUGCCAGGGCUCGCUGCCACCCAGCCGGUCUCUCCCCGCUGCUCGGCACGGCCACUGUGUCACUGCCGUUAACGUCCUGCUGGCACCAUCGGCUUCGACCAGCGGCACCCACAGACAUACUGGCUUAAACACCAUUCAUUUUGAACUGAAACUGCAGCUCUCCUAGAACAACUGCUCUUCAGAACUGCCGUGGAACGCUCUGCUAAGCUGUGGAGGUUUCGGUGUAUGUGGGUUGGUACAGGUAGGGUGUGUGGUUUUUCCUCAGAACUCAGCUACAGCACGUGCGAGAGGGUCGGUCGCUAUUCUCAUAUCACAGCUCCAGAGUUUCUGUAUCCUGUAGUAGGCGUUACUUAAGGCAUGGGAUGGCAAACGCGUUCUCCACCCCUACAUGGGUGAUGUUCUCAAGGCAUUUAGGCAAUACAGGAGAACAAACUUCUCUGAAAGUCACUGUUCCUUGUGCUUGUAUCACGCGAAGACUUCUGAAAAUCCCUAUUCAUUAAAUUUGGGGUGGGAUCCAUCUUCUGUUUCUCAUGAAGGUGUAAAAGUCACUGGAUUCCAGAUGGAGCAUUACUGUCUGUGGACUCCAUUAAAUCUCUGCAUUAAAUCCAAAAUCCCUGCAGUUCGUUCUGUUUUUCUCAAGCUGUCACCUUUGGUUCUCCGCGGAAGGACUGCCGUACGCUGAGCACCGCAGAGGCUGGUGCACGUGGCUCGGAUGGGCUCUGGGGACUCUGCUUUCAUAUUAGAUAGAAAAGUGUUUGUGUACUAGGAGAAGGAACAAUGAAGUGGUGUAGCGAAAGAAAAAGGCAAGUGCUGCGUGUAGUGAGGACGGGCAGUGUGGAGAUCCCGGGAACGCGGGAGGUGCCGAGACCAGCGUGUUAUCCCCGGGGCCGGUUCGGGUGCUGGUCCAGAGCACGCGCGGGAUGACACGGAGGGACGUCCAGGGAGAUUGUCCAGACCGCUCGCUUGGCCUUUGCGUCACAGAGAAGACGAGUGACUGCAGAUCCAGCCUUCACUACCACUGUCACAAUGACCGGUGCCCCAGCCAAGUUAAAUGUACUUAAUUUAUUAGUGAUGUCAUUUUUUUUUUUUAAAUUGUUGUAGGUAUACACAUGUAGAUUGACUACAUCAUGUUAUAACACAGCUGCAUAUGACUGUUGAAAGUAAAUAGCAUCUUGGUAUAAAA